CUUUCGCCACACCUAUCCUGAAAG
rnacentral:miRNA from 1 species